UAAUAUGUUACUUUUGCAAUCAGAAGAAGAAUAACUUGAGUUUGUUUUGGUCCAGCCACACUUCCACACUACUUUGUGGUGGGAGAGAACUGGACACACUUUGGAAGGAAACUUAGACACUCCUGUGAAAACUGAAGACUCCGCUCUCCUGUUACCAGGGACUUCACCUAUGGGUGCGGAUUCGACAGUGUGUGAGAAACGUACAUAACUGCAAUGCCUGUCCUAUGCACAGGUGAAAAUACGGGACACCCUCAGUUACAGAAGAGGCUCACUGCUGUGUCUCCGCUGCCACAAUACACAGAGCUGUGGGACGCAGUGCCCAGAGCUGCACCAGCCUGCACGGAUAAACCUCAGACCUGGAACAUUAAGCACAACGAAUGGAAAACAAAUGUGAAAAAGGACCCUAAAUUUAGGAUACCAAUGAGCUCUAUGGAAAACAAAGGGGGAGAUCAGACCAAGAUUGGGCAGUUCCACGGCAGGCAAGUAUAUGUGAAAUGUUUUAUUUCUUUUAAAAAACUGUAACCAAAAAUGGUGGCAAAACUGUUACUAUUUGAGAAACAUUGGCAGUGGGUUAGGGCUAUAUAUAUCAGCAUCAUCAUCACUGUCACCAUCAUCACAGUAAACUAUAGCUAGUGUCGGACCUGGUGCCCCCACUUUGCCCCUUUGCCUGGAAUCUGUGACAGUGAUUACCACGGGCGGAAGCUGGUUCAGGGGUCUGGCCGAUGGCAGACUGCUCCCCAGCAAUGUUACCUGUUCUUGCCACUCAGGGUUUAAAUAACCCACAAGGCAGAAUCAAAGACUCUUGAAGUCUACAUACCUUUAGAUUGCUCUAUUCAUCUAAAUUAACAGCAAUAGUAAGGAACCCCAGAUCAAUUGUUUCCUGGCCUUGGGACUCUGUCAUUUAAAAGGAAUUCCCUUACUGGUUCACCUGUCAGGGGUCUCUGCUCAACCCUUGGGCUACAUGCUUUUAAAGUGAUGUCUAAAAUUGGUUGCUUUACUUAAAAUACUGUUCUUCAGAUGAUCUACUGGCUAGAAAUUGGCAUGGUCUAUCCCUACAGCAGCCUGAAUUCAAUACUAAUUUAUCUCAGGGGUUGAAGCUGGAGAUUGUCUGUAUCCAAAUCCUGGCUUUUAGAAUUUGCUUUGCUAUUUGGGUUCUAUAGCCAUAAAAUGCAGACUAAUUUAUAAAAUGAGUGUAAAACUCUCAAACCCCAGACUGUCACCAAAAAGCUUUCUGCAAUCAUUCCCCAUAACCCUAUUCGUAGCAUAAUCACUGUUGCAUGUCAUUCUGAACCUUCAGUUUUGGCCCUUAUAACCUGAAGCUCUUAGCCCAACACUUGAUACUAUUAGCAUUAAAAGCAGUUUGAUGAUUGCUAAUUACGCUGCUGCCUCGUCUACCAAAAAUGACGAACAGGAAAGAGAACAAACACUGACAGAUAUGAAAACUCUGGAUCCUCAGCCAAACUCUGCCAGGAGCUCUGUCUCUACAACACAAGUCUCUAAAAGAUGCUCAUCCUGUUUUCUAAGCUAGUUAUUGGUUUAAAAUUCUAUGAUUGCUCCUUGUACUGUGCCUUAUUCUCUCAAACAGUCACAAUCUCUGACCUGCUCCAUGACAGUGUCCGUGAAAUGUUUGAUUAAUGAAUGAAUAAAUGACUAGGUGGUCAGUGGCUCUUGGUCCAGUGAUGGGCAGGACAUUCUAGGUGUUGGGUAAAUCUUGAAAUAUUUAGGUUUUGUAAUGAAGGAAUCUCAUAUUUCCUACAUGGACUUAGCAUAACAGGACAUAUCAGUAAAGCCCAGUUAUAAUAUGUACUUUUUUUCCUUUUCUUUUUGAGUCAGGGUUUCACUAUGCAGUUAAGGCUGGCCUGGAGCUCACAGAGAUCCUUUUGCUUCAGCCUCCUGAGUUUAUGAUCACUGGAAUGCACCACCACGCCUGGUUUGUUUCUUUUUUUAAUGUGUAUUUACUUUCCAGAUUAUGAGACUUUGUGUUCUUUAGGAGAAGAGUACCAUUUGUAAUCUGAUGACUUUUCAUGGCUAGGAUUUAUUAGCCUAAAGAAUACUCCUUACAUCACUGCCUGAUAAUCUGAGGGCAUGGGUUUUAUUUCCCAAUCCUCUCUCUCUCAGAGAGAUGUUUUCAUUAAUGAGGAAAGUGUAGGCAGCUUAGCCUUUGUUCCUAGAUACUAUCAAUCAAAGAGAAAUAAAAAUAUUUUCCAUUA